CAAAGGUAGCAUAAUCAUUAGUUUUUUAAUUAAAAACUUGUAUGAAUGGUUGAACGAGAAAGUGGCUGUCUCUAUUUAAAUUAAAUAGAAUUUUAUUUUUAAGUAAAAAAGCUUAAAUGUAUUUAAAAGACGAGAAGACCCUAUAGAGUUUUAUAUUUAUUUUUUUUAU
rnacentral:rRNA from 1 species